AAACAUGUCGCGAGUGGAUAUUUGCAGUUUAGUCCUCCACGUUUUCCCGACCGAACCCGAGGUCCCUCUUCUUCCUCGCUCUCGCUCUCACUCUCUCCCGGUCGAACCCGACGACGGGCACCGCCUUGCGGCCCCUCUCCGCCACCGCUCCUCCCGCCCCACGCCGCCCCCGCCGCCCCUCUCCGCCACCGCUCCUCCCGCCCCACGCCGCCCCCGCUGCCACCACCCCUCCCGCCUCACGCCCCACGCCGCCUCGUUCCCCGCCUCGUUCCCCAACGUGAAGCACGCGUUUUUUUUGUCGAUCCUCCUGCCGUUCCUGUCCGACGGCCAUGUGUUUACCUCACCGGGGCACGGCAGCAGGGCGCCCUCCUUUCUCGCAUUCCUGGCGCGGCGGCUGCUCGGCGGAUUGCAAAGAGGCAGGUGGAGGAGCUCACCAAGUAGCCCGCCGGAGUCAAAGGCAUUCGAGGAUAGGGACAAGCCGGCGGCGCAGCCAGUGACUGGAGCGGCGGCACGAGCUCUGUCUCCGAGGAGAAGCCGAUGGGCGACGUCAGCGAGCUCGUCUCCGUGCGUUAACCCUCUGUGCGUUGCGGGGUGGGGAGGCAACUCCGUGAGCUCGUCUUCAUGCGGCUACCGGGGGUUUGCCCCUCAGCUCGCCGCAAACUCUAUUUCCGGGGAGAAGCGGCGUCGGCGACUCCGUGAGGGCGGCCGCCGGUGCAAGCCCAGGUCGAUUUUCGGCGGCUUCGCUCAAGGCCAACGAUUGGGCGCGUGUGGUGGCAGUUCGAGGAGUGGCGACAUCUUCUGGUGGAUUGCUGUGUGUGCUUUGGUCUGAAAGUUUGUGAUUGGAAGGAGUGGCAACAUCUUCAGGUGGAAGGAGUGGCAGUUCAAGGACAUCUUCAGCAGUGGUCUGAAUUGAUUCAGGAAAUACUUUGGCAUGGUACAGUUUGACCAGCCACAGGACCAAAUCAGUUAACCUACUCCCUUUAGUUUGCAUCAAGGUUUGGAGACCAAUGAAUCCUAAAAACUGUGAGGUUUUGGUCUGCCAUGUCCCCAUAACAGAGCAAGAUGAAGAUAAAGAGCUUUAUAAAUUCCCAUUGACUGAUUGAAUUAUACGCUGAUCAUAAUUGACACUUGACUGGCUGAAUUAUACUCUGAUCAUAAUUGACACUUGACAGUUUACACUCCACAUCCACUGCAUACCUUUCCCUGGAGUACAGUUUACACUUGACAGUGUUUGUUCAGAUCAUAAUUGCUCUGCUGAUAUCUACUGAUUUUUUUCAGUUAACACUAAUCAUAUUCAGUUAACAUUGUUCUUCCUGAUGAACAGGAGCAGAGCAGCAACUCCUUACAGUACACUGAUCAUAUUCAGCACAGGGAGCAGAGGAGCAACUCCUUACGGUACCUUCUUCCUUCUGACGAGCAGGAGCUCUGGCGGCAGCACCGGCAGACGAGCAGCAGCAGUACUAGUAGACGAGCAGAAGCUGUACGGGCAGAGGAGCUCCACCGGCGGUAGGGGAGAAGCAGCCGCACGGGCGCGCGGGCAGAGGAGAAGGAGUUGCACGGGCUCGCGCAGGAGAUUGAGGAGGACGCGCGGGAGAUCGAGGAGGCAGCGCGCGAGCUCCUGGUCCACCGGAUCGUGGAGGCAAUUUCCGGCGACGCCCGUAGGGGAUCGCAGCCGGGAGGAAUUGCGGUGGCGCACACGCGGGAGCUCGAGGAGGAUGCGCUGGAGCUUGAGGAGGAUGCGCUGGAGCUCGAGGUGGACACCCGCGAGCUCGAGGAGGACGUGGCCGGAGGUCCCGACGACGCCCGCAGGUAAUCGAGGCGGGAGGGGAUCGCGGUGACGCAGGUCUGAGCGGGGGAGGCGGCGGAGCAGGUACUUGGCGACGGCGGCGGAGCACUUCCUGAUGGGCGGCGAUGACGACGACGGCGGCAGCUGGGCGGCGCCGGCCCUAUCGACGACGGAGGAAGAAGACAGGGGGCGGAGGGGCUUCUUUCAGACGAUUUUAAAACUACGAGGGCUUUUUUGCAAAAUCACCCAUGAACUGUGCCCACGACAUGUUUUUCGAGACGGAGGGAGUACAUAAUGGCCGGUCCUCAUCUUGCUCAACCAAACCAAAGCUCUCAUGUGGCAAUUUUUGAGAUGGUCUCCCUUCCUGCGGAGCACGACCAUCCCCCCUAUCUCCUGGAUCGAACCGCUCUCAAAGGCCAGCCAUGUUGUCGCCAGUCGAUCGAAUUGCCAACAGAAGAGAAUUGGUCUGGGCGAGUAACAUGUGUUUGAGCUAACGUGUACUUUAUUUAUUAUGUUGUCAUCAUUCAU